rnacentral:lncRNA from 1 species
AUUAUGUGAAUGUAAGGCUAGAAGCUAUUAAAGCUGAGUAUCAGAAGAUGCCUGCAUUUCAUCAUGAAGAAGAAAAACAUAAUUUGGAGAUGCUGAAAAAGAAGGGAAAAGAUAUUUUUCAUCAACUUCAUUUAAGUAAAGCCAAAAUGGCUCAUAGGAGGGAGAUUUUUAAGAGGAAUGUAAGCGGAGCUGAUGAAAAUGUGCCAUAAACCACAUGUGGAGCUACUUC